rnacentral:rRNA from 1 species
CCUACGGGUGGCAGCAGUGGGGAAUAUUGCGCAAUGGGCGAAAGUCUGACGCAGCGACGCCGCGUGAGGGAUGAAGGUCUUCUGAUCGUUAACCUCUGUCAGCAGGGAAGUACGGUCACUGUGCUAAUCAGCAGUGAAUUGACGGUACCUGCAAAGGAAGCACCGGCUAACUCCGUGCCAGCAGCCGCGGUAAUACGGAGGGUGCGAGCGUUAAUCGGAAUUACUGGGCGUAAAGCGCUCGUAGGCGGUAUGUCAAGUCAAGGGUGAAAUCCCCGCGCUCAACGUGGGAACUGCAUUUGAAACUGGCAGACUGGAGGGUGUGAGAGGAUAGUGGAAUUCCAGGUGUAGGAGUGAAAUCCGUAGAUAUCUGGAGGAACAUCAGUGGCGAAGGCGACUAUCUGGCACAUAACUGACGCUGAGGAGCGAAAGCGUGGGUAGCAAACAGGAUUAGAUACCCUUGUAGUC